GGGCUACAUGGCUACAGGGUUACAGGGCUACAGGGCUACAUGGCUACAGGGCUACAGGGUUACAGGGCUACAGGGCUACAGGGCUACAGGGUACAGGGUUACAGGGCUACAGGGGUACAGGGCUACAGGGGUACAGGGCUACAGGGGUACAGGGCUACAGGGCUACAGGGUUACAGGGUUACAUGGCUACAGGGCUACAGGGUUACAGGGUUACAGGGCAACAGGUCUACAUGGCUACAGGGCUACAGGGUUACAGGGCUACAGGGUUACAGGGUUACAGGGUUACAUGGCUACAGGGUUACAUGGUUACAGGGUUACAGGGCUACAUGGUUACAUGGCUACAGGGUUACAGGGUUACAGGGUUACAUGGCUACAGGGUUACAGGGCUACAGGGUUACAGGGUUACAUGGCUACAGGGCUACAUGGCUACAGGGCUACAGGGCUACAGGGUUACAGGACUACAGGGUUACAGGGCUACAGGGCUAGAGGGUUACAGGGCUACAGGGUUACAGGGUUACAUGGCUACAGGGCUACAGAGCUACAGGGUUACAGGGUUACAUGGCUACAGGGCUACAGGGUUACAGGGUUACAGGGCUACAGGGCUACAUGGCUACAGGGCUACAGGGCUACAGGGUUACAGGGCUACAGGGAUACAUGGCUACAGGGUUACAGGGCUACAGGGCUGCAGGGCUACAGGUUUACAGAGCUACAUGGCUACAUGGCUACAGGUUUACAGAGCUACAGGGCUACAUGGCUAUAGGGUUACAGAGCUACAGGGCUACAGGGUUACAGGGCUACAGGG
ensembl:lncRNA